rnacentral:tRNA from 1 species
UCGGGGGUAGCUCAAUGGUAGAGCAAAUGGCUGUUAACCAUUAGGUUGUGGGUUCGAGUCCCACCCCCCGAGCCA